UAGGGAAUCUUCCGCAAUGGGCGAAAGCCUGACGGAGCAACGCCGCGUGAGUGAUGAAGGUCUUCGGAUCGUAAAACUCUGUUAUUAGGGAAGAACAAAUGUGUAAGUAACUAUGCACGUCUUGACGGUACCUAAUCAGAAAGCCACGGCUAACUACGUGCCAGCAGCCGCGGUAAUACGUAGGUGGCAAGCGUUAUCCGGAAUUAUUGGGCGUAAAGCGCGCGUAGGCGGUGUUUUAAGUCUGAUGUGAAAGCCCACGGCUCAACCGUGGAGGAUCAUUGGAAACUGGAAAACUUGAAUGCAGAAGAAGAAAGUGGAAUUCCAUGUGUAGCGGUAAAAUGCGCAGAGAUAUGGAGGAACACCAGUGGCGAAGGCGACUUUCUGAUCUGUAACUGACGCUGAUGUGCGAAAGCGUGGGGAUCAAACAGG
rnacentral:rRNA from 1 species